UAGAAAGUGAAAAAGGAAGCUUUAAAGGCUCUCUCUGUACUGAACUCUACCUCCCACCCCACCCCAGCGGAGUGAAGGUCUUAAAAGCUGAGAAGGCCAUACUGGAAGUGUCCACACCCGCAAGAACACUAUUUAGAGGCUGCCCCACUUCCAGAGACCCCAGGCAUUUCAGGUCCAACGUAUGCUUGGCAGAGCAACCCUCGGAGAAAUGCUGGUUCACCAAAUCAGCAUCGUGCUUCCCCAGCCAUGGAGUCCAUCAUGAAGAAGAUGGAAGACAAACCCAUACUGGCAAUGAUCAUGAUGACCAGGCCAACAAGUAAGAGAGCAAGCAUGAAGAAGCUGAUGGUGAGGCAAUGGAGAGAAGAUGUUAGACCAGGCCUGACUGCAACACAGUGGGUCUCACCAACAAAGCCCCACUCCUGUUUCUUUGGGGAGUAACAUUAUGACAUGAUGUCCCAGUGUACUCAAUUAGAUGAAUGACUGUAGGUGCGGACAAAUCAUCACAGCCAUGUGCUCGCCGGCACAGCCCAGGAUUGGCCUGCCACCGAGAAACCCGA
rnacentral:lncRNA from 12 species